GUCUGGGAUAGCUCGGAUGGUAGAGCAUGAGGCUCUUAAUCUCAGGGUUGUGGGUUCGAGUCCCGCCUUAGGCA